UUCAAGCACGAUCGCGAACUUGUCAAUAUGCGCCUAGCAACCUCUGUGGGACGUAGGAUAUCAAGAGAGUUGGCCAAACCAAAUCUUAUACAAAUUCUGCGGACUCUUACUGUUGCAAAAAAGGUGCAAGCGAACAAGUGCAUGCAAUUCUUGUAUUUUAUGUAGAACGGCCGAAUACCAACACUCCUGUUUUAUCCUAGUACAGUUUGCAUUAAAGUAUGGCUCAAAAUCAAGGCUAUGGAAUGCAACCACCCCAACAAACAAUGGGCAGAGAACCGCAAGCUCAUCCACAACAUCAUCAACAACAACAGUCGACAACUGUAAUCGUCAACCAACCAGGUGUGACGACCAAUCCUUUGUUGGUCGGCACUGUUCAUGGAACCAGGGAAUGGACGUCUGGGCUAUUUGAUUGCUUUUCUGAUGUUGGCAACAGUAUGUAUGUGUGUUGCUGUUAUUGUUGUGCUAUCAGCUCAAUUGCAGCUCGCUUAGGUGAAAAUUGUUGCACUACCUGCUGUGUACCUGCUGCAGAGAUUGGUAUUAGGACCAGAAUCAGAACUCUUGGUGCAAUAAGGGGUGAUAUGUGCCAUGACUGCAUAAUCGUUGCAUGUUGUACAACGUGUGCUGCUUGUCAGGAAUCAAGAGAGUUAAACGCUAUGGGACUUUAAAAAAGACGCUUAUCGACGAGCAGUAUAGCUUACUAAAGUGUGAUAUAUUUUUGCUUACCUUUAUAACUACCUAUUUAUUAUUGUUUUACAUUUAUGCGUGAAUUUAUGAAAGAUUUAACAAACAUGAUUUUGCUUUGAAUCGAAAACUCUUUGUUCCCAUUGCAUUCCGCGUAAAACUUAAAAACUUAAAAAAACUAACACUUUUGUAUCAUAUAUAUAUCCUUUAAUAAAUUACGUUUACAUUAAUUUAUGUCACGGUACAUUUCUAUCCAAAUUCAUGUAUUUAGUUUUGAUGUUAUAUUUGUUAUUCUCAUCGGAUUUUGUCAAUGUCUUAUCGUUUGUAGUUGUAAAUCUUAUUGUUUUCUGUUGUAUUCGUGUGUUAUGGUAAUGCGGCGUAGCUAAACAUGUUUUGUGAGAUCUCAACCCUCCAACCGCAUCUCUAGCCAAUAUGGAAUAAACAAACACACAGCAAAACGCAAAGUAAAAUUAAAUUU